UCCGUCUCCAGUUCUAGUCCUUUUAUACACCGAGAAGAGCAGGUGACAUCUCCGUGAAAUGUAAAUAUGAAGAUCGGUUGCUAUUUGUUUGUUUCCAGUUCAUAAAAACUAUAAAAGUUUGUUUAUUUUUCUUUUCGUACUUUGCUGCUUCUUCUUCUUUGUAUAAGCUUCCUAUAGACAGGAACACCUCUAAUGAUAUUAGAGUAUAUAUGAGGGUAAUUUUG
rnacentral:lncRNA from 1 species